rnacentral:rRNA from 1 species
AUUGAACGCUGGCGGCAUGCUUUACACAUGCAAGUCGAACGGUAACAGGCCGCAAGGUGCUGACGAGUGGCGAACGGGUGAGUAAUGCAUCGGAACGUGCCCAGUCGUGGGGGAUAGCGCAGCGAAAGCUGUGCUAAUACCGCAUACGAUCUGUGGAUGAAAGCGGGGGACCUUCGGGCCUCGCGCGAUUGGAGCGGCCGAUGUCAGAUUAGGUAGUUGGUGGGGUAAAGGCUCACCAAGCCGACGAUCUGUAGCUGGUCUGAGAGGACGACCAGCCACACUGGGACUGAGACACGGCCCAGACUCCUACGGGAGGCAGCAGUGGGGAAUUUUGGACAAUGGGCGCAAGCCUGAUCCAGCAAUGCCGCGUGCAGGAAGAAGGCCUUCGGGUUGUAAACUGCUUUUGUACGGAGCGAAAAGGCUCCCUCUAAUACAGGGGGCUCAUGACGGUACCGUAAGAAUAAGCACCGGCUAACUACGUGCCAGCCGCCGCUGUAAGAC